AUGGCACAAGUGUGGCGGAUCCCUAACCUGGAAGCAGUUCGUAAUACAGGUCAUGAAUGGGUUCUUCAUCUCAUUGCGAGCUGCGAUGAGGGAGAUAGACUGCGGCUACUCAUGUUGUUAUGGCGCUGUUGGUUCGUGCGAAAUGAAAUAGCACAUGACAAACCAGCACCACCAAUUGAUGUCUCCCGAGAGUUCCUACAAAGCUAUGUAACUUCCAUCUUGGGCAUCCAGCAGUACCCAGCAGGGGAUUGGGACAAGGGGAAGAUGGUGAUCCAGCAAGAGGGUGCUGAACAGCUCAUAUCACAUGUGCAGAACAAACUAAAGCCGGCCUGCAAGUGGAGUCCCCCACCGGUUCGGGAAUGGUGCUGCGGGACCACAAUGGCGACAUCAUUUGUUCGGCUUGCAGAUCCUUGUGGUCGUGCCCGGAUGCCCUUCAUGCAGAGCUUGCAGGAUGCAUGGAAGGGCUGGCUCUAG
rnacentral:rRNA from 1 species